rnacentral:rRNA from 1 species
GAACGAACUCUUCGGAGUUAGUGGCGCACGGGUGCGUAACGCGUGGGAACCUGCCUUAAGGUUCGGAAUAACAGUUAGAAAUGACUGCUAAUACCGGAUAAUGUCUUCGGACCAAAGAUUUAUUGCCUUAAGAUGGGCCCGCGUUGGAUUAGGUAGUUGGUGGGGUAAAGGCCUACCAAGCCGACGAUCCAUAGCUGGUCUGAGAGGAUGAUCAGCCACACUGGGACUGAGACACGGCCCAGACUCCUACGGGAGGCAGCAGUGGGGAAUAUUGGACAAUGGGCGAAAGCCUGAUCCAGCAAUGCCGCGUGAGUGAUGAAGGCCUUAGGGUUGUAAAGCUCUUUUACCAGGGAUGAUAAUGACAGUACCUGGAGAAUAAGCUCCGGCUAACUCCGUGCCAGCAGCCGCGGUAAUACGGAGGGAGCUAGCGUUGUUCGGAAUUACUGGGCGUAAAGCGCGCGUAGGCGGUCUAUUAAGUCAGGGGUGAAAUCCCGGGGCUCAACCCCGGAACUGCCCUUGAAACUGCUAGACUAGAAUCUUGGAGAGGUCAGUGGAAUUCCGAGUGUAGAGGUGAAAUUCGUAGAUAUUCGGAAGAACACCAGUGGCGAAGGCGACUGACUGGACAAGUAUUGACGCUGAGGUGCGAAAGUGUGGGGAGCAAACAGGAUUAGAUACCCUGGUAGUCCACACCGUAAACGAUGAUAACUAGCUGUCCGGGUUCAUGGAACUUGGGUGGCGCAGCUAACGCAUUAAGUUAUCCGCCUGGGGAGUACGGUCGCAAGAUUAAAACUCAAAGGAAUUGACGGGGGCCUGCACAAGCGGUGGAGCAUGUGGUUUAAUUCGAAGC